UUAGGUUUUGAUUUGAUUUUUUGAAAUUUGGGGUUAUAUAUGAUUAUGUUUGGAGAGGGCAAAAACAAAGAAAUUGUGACUCUUCAUACACAAUAAAACAGAGAAAUUCCGCCAGUCAGACUACCAGAAUCGUUACUGGUAAAGUUCUGAUUAUAUUCCUAUUUAAAUACAAUAUCCUGCUUCUAGCCAAAUUGUUUUUGUCUGCCACCGUCCAUACACCAAUCUUCCUCUCUCCAAUUUAUCACAUCUGACCCUCUUCAGAAAUUUUUAAUAUUUCCUAUCCGACUAUCACCAAAUGCAUUCAAUGAUGACAAGCCCUGGACUUCUCAACGAUGCAUCAAAGAUAUUCAGUGACUCAAUAUUGUUUCACUAAGCAGGAAAUGAUGCAACCCAAAUUGACAUGGCUUAAAUUGCAUUGGGAUUGAAAGCUUGAACAACCAAGGCUAGAUUGAAUGCAACCCCUGGCAAUGCCUCAAGAUUGGGAGCAACACCAUAAACAUUUUUUUUUUUUUUUUGGGCUGACUCCAUUUGUGGUUGCACCUUAUCAUUAUCUGGCCCACCAAGUGGAUAUGAUGGUGGGCAUGGUAUUGGUUGUCGAGGGGGGUUAUGGUGGUGCUUCUGCUGAGGCCCCAGAUGUGACAACUAAAGAACUAAGGGAGCUUUUUGGAGGCAUUGGACAAGUAAUAUUCUACAUCUUUUCUUUUGAACUCCUUGCAUUUAAGUUUUCUUAAAAAAAAUUUGACAUGGUUUCAUUCAGUUGUAUUUGGUUACUAGGAAAAUGUUGGAACAGAAUAGAACUGAGGUUUUAAAAGUUUUUAUGUUUUAUUUUUUUGGUUUUAUGGAAUCAAGAAAGCAAUAUAUUUUUCUAGGAAAACUAAUUUUGAUUGGCCUUUUAUUUUUAUUUUUUUGGUAACUUGAAAAAUGGUUUUGGAUUACUUUUGUUGAGCUUUUUCUUUAAUUUUCAAAACAUCUGCAGCUUAAAAUUUAGGGACACAAAUUGGUUUUUCUGUUUCUUAAAAGUUUCUUUGAGUUUAUGAUUCUAAUUUACUGUCAUUUGGCUUAUGCUGUUGAGAUAUAGGAAGGAAAAGUUCUAUUGUUUUGAAACUAUUUUUUGAUUUUGUGAGUAAUUAGCAACCAAAGAGCCCUACAUUUACUUCCAAAGGAAUUUAUCGAAGAAGAAAAAAUUAUGUUUUAAGAGUGAUAUAUUUGAAGUGUUCUUCAACUGCUUCUUUUCCCUUUGAGAAUCGAACCUGUGACUUGAAAAUAUAUUGAAAAACCAAACAAUUUUUACCUUGCUUGGCUUAAGUUUGUAAUUUUUUAACAAACCUAACAACAAAAAGGGAGGGAAAGAUUCAAGAUAUAGUUCUUUCUUCCUUCCCUCAACUUUCUCUAUCAUCAAGUGGUGUAGUGUUAUUAUUUCAGCAAUUAAAAUUUAUUCUCCUUCACAUCUAAUCCCAUUCUAGCUGUUAUACAAGUCUCCAUUCCCAGUGCAUUGAGUUUGCUCUCAGUUAUUGAUGGCAAAGGCAAAACAAGAACGCAGAUCUUCUUUAACUUCAUUCCAUGAAUCCUCUCCUGGAUUAGGAUCACCAUAUACCUAGCUUAGAUCGCCAUGAUCUGAGGAAGGAGGUUUGCAAUUGAUAGUACUUCUUGGAGAAUGUGCUAGCCAUGUAACUGCCAGAUGUCUUCAUAGUGUUAAUACCAAGCUUGAACAUAUUUCCUAUCUUGCCUCUCCUAAAGACACUGUAAUUCAGCGAAUUGCUUCAUAUUUCAUUGAGGCAUUUGCUAAUAGGAUGCUUAAAGGCUUUACUGGUCUCUUUUGCAGUAAAAACAUGAUGUGUUCCAGGAAUCAAAAUUUCGUUGGAUGAAAGUUAAGUUCAAAACUAACCCAUCAGGGUAGCUGGGUUUUUUA